AGAGUUUGAUCCUGGCUCAGGACGAACGCUGGCGGCGUGCUUAACACAUGCAAGUCGAACGAGACGAUUGAAAGCUUGCUUUUGAAAGUCGAGUGGCAAACGGGUGAGUAACGCGUAGACAACCUGCCGCAAAGAUGGGGACAACAGUCCGAAAGGACUGCUAAUACCGAAUGUUGUCAGAUUCCCGCAUGGAGACUGAUUAAAGAUGGCCUCUACUUGUAAGCUAUCGCUUUGUGAUGGGUCUGCGUCUGAUUAGCUAGUUGGUGGGGUAACGGCCUACCAAGGCGACGAUCAGUAGCCGGUCUGAGAGGAUGAACGGCCACAUUGGAACUGAGACACGGUCCAGACUCUACGGGAGGCAGCAGUGGGGAAUCUUCCGCAAUGGGCGAAAGCUGACGGAGCAACGCCGCGUGAGUGAAGAAGGGUUUCGGCUCGUAAAGCUCUGUUGACGGGGACGAAUGUGCGAAAUGCGAAUAGUUUUUCGCAAUUGACGGUACCCGUCGAGGAAGCCACGGCUAAUACGUGCCAGCAGCCGCGGUAAUACGUAGGUGGCGAGCGUUGUCCGGAAUUAUUGGGCGUAAAGGGAGCGCAGGCGGGAAGGCAAGUCAGUCUUAAAAGUGCGGGGCUCAACCCCGUGAUGGGAUUGAAACUGUCUUUCUUGAGUGCAGGAGAGGAAAGCGGAAUUCCUAGUGUAGCGGUGAAAUGCGUAGAUAUUAGGAGGAACACCAUUGGCGAAGGCGGCUUUCUGGACUGUAACUGACGCUGAGGCUCGAAAGCGUGGGGAGCGAACAGGAUUAGAUACCCUGGUAGUCCACGCCGUAAACGAUGAAUGCUAGGUGUAGGAGGUAUCGACCCCUUCUGUGCCGGAGUUAACGCAAUAAGCAUUCCGCCUGGGGAGUACGGUCGCAAGACUGAAACUCAAAGGAAUUGACGGGGGCCCGCACAAGCGGUGGAGUAUGUGGUUUAAUUCGACGCAACGCGAAGAACCUUACCAGGGCUUGACAUUGAGUGAAAGAUCUAGAGAUAGAUCCCUCUCUUCGGAGACACGAAAACAGGUGGUGCAUGGCUGUCGUCAGCUCGUGUCGUGAGAUGUUGGGUUAAGUCCCGCAACGAGCGCAACCCCUAUCAUUUGUUGCCAGCACGUUAAGGUGGGAACUCAAAUGAGACUGCCGCGGACAACGCGGAGGAAGGCGGGGAUGACGUCAAGUCAUCAUGCCCCUUAUGUCCUGGGCUACACACGUACUACAAUGGGAUGGACAGAGAGCAGCGAACCCGCGAGGGCAAGCGAACCCCAUAAACCAUCUCCCAGUUCGGAUUGCAGGCUGCAACCCGCCUGCAUGAAGUCGGAAUCGCUAGUAAUCGCUGGUCAGCAUACAGCGGUGAAUACGUUCCCGGGCCUUGUACACACCGCCCGU
rnacentral:rRNA from 1 species